rnacentral:rRNA from 1 species
GAUGAACGCUGGCGGCGUGCCUAAUACAUGCAAGUCGAGCGAACGGACGAGAAGCUUGCUUCUCUGAUGUUAGCGGCGGACGGGUGAGUAACACGUGGAUAACCUACCUAUAAGACUGGGAUAACUUCGGGAAACCGGAGCUAAUACCGGAUAAUAUUUUGAACCGCAUGGUUCAAAAGUGAAAGACGGUCUUGCUGUCACUUAUAGAUGGAUCCGCGCUGCAUUAGCUAGUUGGUAAGGUAACGGCUUACCAAGGCAACGAUGCAUAGCCGACCUGAGAGGGUGAUCGGCCACACUGGAACUGAGACACGGUCCAGACACCUACGGGAGGAAGCAGUAGGAAAUCUUCCGCAAUGGGCGAAAGCCUGACGGAGCAACGCCGCGUGAGUAAUGAAGGUCUUCGGAUCGUAAAACUCUGUUAUUAGGGAAGAACAUAUGUGUAAGUAACUGUGCACAUCUUGACGGUACCUAAUCAGAAAGCCACGGCUAACUACGUG